rnacentral:rRNA from 1 species
CCUACGGGGGGCAGCAGUGAGGAAUAUUGGUCAAUGGGCGGGAGCCUGAACCAGCCAUGCCGCGUGAAGGCGAGUGCCCUACGGGCGUUAAACUUCUUUUGUGCGGGAGCAAUAAGGGCCACGUGUGGCCCGAUGAGAGUACCGCACGAAUAAGCAUCGGCUAACUCCGUGCCAGCAGCCGCGGUAAUACGGGGGAUGCGAGCGUUAUCCGGAUUUAUUGGGUUUAAAGGGUGCGCAUGCGGAAGAUCAAGUCAGCGGUAAAAUUGAGAGGCUCAACCUCUUCGAGCCGUUAAAACUGGUUUUCU